rnacentral:rRNA from 1 species
CUCAGUUCGGAUUGUAGGCUGAAACUCGCCUACAUGAAGCUGGAGUUACUAGUAAUCGCAGAUCAGAAUGCUGCGGUGAAUGCGUUCCCGGGUCUUGUACACACCGCCCGUCACACCACGAGAGUCGGGAACACCCGAAGUCCGUAGCCUAACAGCAAUGAGGGCGCGGCCGAAGGUGGGUUCGAUAAUUGGGGUGAAGUCGUAACAAGGUAGC